rnacentral:rRNA from 1 species
CAAAACCUGGUUGAUCCUGCCAGUCAUAUGCUUGUCUCAAAGAUUAAACCAUGCAUGUCUAAGUAUAAACAUUUAUACUGUGAAACUGCACAUGGUUCAUUAAAUCAGUUAUAGUUUAUUUGAUGGUACCUUACUACAUGGAUAACCGUAGUAAUUCUAGAGCUAAUACAUGCGUCAAGCCUCGACCGCAAGGAA